rnacentral:rRNA from 1 species
AUUGAACGCUGGCGGCAUGCCUUACACAUGCAAGUCGAACGGCAGCACGGGGCAACCUGGUGGCGAGUGGCGAACGGGUGAGUAAUGCAUCGGAACGUACCUUUCAGUGGGGGAUAACGUAGCGAAAGUUACGCUAAUACCGCAUAUUCUGUGAGCAGGAAAGCAGGGGAUCGCAAGACCUUGCGCUGAUUGAGCGGCCGAUGUCAGAUUAGCUAGUUGGUGAGGUAAAGGCUCACCAAGGCGCGGAUCUGUAGCGGGUCUGAGAGGAUGGUCCGCCACACUGGAACUGAGACACGGUCCAGACUCCUACGGGAGGCAGCAGUGGGGAAUUUUGGACAAUGGGGGCAACCCUGAUCCAGCCAUGCCGCGUGAGUGAAGAAGGCCUUCGGGUUGUAAAGCUCUUUCGGCCGGGAAGAAAUCGCACGGGCUAAUACCCUGUGUGGAUGACGGUACCGGAAUAAGAAGCACCGGCUAACUACGUGCCAGCCGCCGCGGUAAUAC